GAAGUCAGUUUCUGCUCAGGGCAGGAAGGGAUGGGGGUCCACUCACCCUAACAGUGCCCAGCCUGGACCUCAUCUCCCCAGCUCAGGGUGUGUCAGCCGCCCAGGUCUAGCCAGGGACCUUGCCCCGUCUCCAUCCUGCCUCUUCUCUUGCUCCUGCUGAGCCUGAAUAUGGCUGUUGAGGGCAACAGUUGUCUCCUCCAGCCCUGCUAGACCACCAGACCGCAGGCCAAAGACACCUCAGGCCACAGCCAGGGCGGGGCUGGGAACCAGCAGUCAUGGAUUCACCUUGCAGGUCAACCUCCAAGUCCUCUCAGCAGGGCCCUCCAUUCCCCAGCUUCCUCCUUUCCCAAGUACCCUUGAGAAAACCAUCAGCAUUUAGCAUGAGGCCAGGCAUCACAGAAGGCACAGGACCCCAAGGAUGUCCCCACACCAGCUACCUGGGAAAUCCCAGAGCCUGUGAAGUCCCCUAAACCUGGGCUGCUGAGGUGGCCACAAGGGACCCUCAUACUAAGCUCCCACCCUCCGGCUCUAAGGCCUUUCUGAGCAGUAGGCCCCGCUGCCCCACGGUGCCCCAGCCUGGACCAUGGUCUUGGUAACGGCUAACAGUUGUGCCCUCAGUGCUUGGAGCCCAAGUUAACAGCAGAGCACUGGGGACCAGCCACAUCCCCAGCACCUGUCUCGUUUUUAGGCCAGAGGCGUCAGCUGGAGAGCCAGACCACCUUCACCUCAGCCCAGGAAGCCCUGUGGUGCCAGAGGCCAUGAUGAUCUCAGGCAACUAAGAGGAGCUAUCCAGGGACCAGUGUGAGCAAAGCAGCUAACUGCACGAGGACAAGGAGGACUAACCGAGGGCCAAGCCCAGCAGGCAGCGGACAGGGCUUCAGGGACAACUGCAGUGACAGGCACUUUAGGAGAGACCACGUUGCUAUGUUCACAUUACCUGUCCCAGAAAUGCCCGGGCCAGGGGGACUGCUGGCUGGUCGAAAAACUCCAACCCCAGUCGGGUAAGGUGGCCCUUCGGGCUUGAGAAAUAGAUGCUGCGGUAUGGGCCCAGGGUGGUGGGUGGUCCCAAACAGGGCUCCUUGGGGCAAGGUGCCUGGGCUGUGUCAGACGGGCUGUGUGGCUGCUCUGC